AUUGAACGCUGGCGGAAUGCUUUACACAUGCAAGUCGAGCGGCAGCACGGGGGCAACCCUGGUGGCGAGCGGCGAACGGGUGAGUAAUACAUCGGAACAUGCCCAGUCGUGGGGGAUAACACUUCGAAAGAAGUGCUAAUACCGCAUACGUCCUGAGGGGGAAAGCGGGGGAUCGCAAGACCUCGCGCGAUUGGAGUGGCCGAUGUCAGAUUAGCUAGUUGGUGGGGUAAAGGCCUACCAAGGCAACGAUCUGUAGCUGGUCUGAGAGGAUGAUCAGCCACACUGGGACUGAGACACGGCCCAGACUCCUACGGGAGGCAGCAGUGGGGAAUUUUGGACAAUGGGGGCAACCCUGAUCCAGCCAUUCCGCGUGAGUGAAGAAGGCCUUCGGGUUGUAAAGCUCUUUCGGCAGGAACGAAACGGUGAGCUCUAAAAUAGCUUGCUAAUGACGGUACCUGAAGAAGAAGCACCGGCUAACUACGUG
rnacentral:rRNA from 1 species